UUCAAAGUUCAAACUCGGCUGCACAGAGAAAAAAUUGUUUAAGUUACGUCCCAUUGUCAACACAUGUUACUCUAUAAAUUCUGUAAAACUCCUCUCAUCUACUAUACUACAGCAGAGACCACAAAAUAAGCUAGAAAGAUGGGGAGUUCAAAACCAGUCUCUGUCCUCUUCUUGAGUCUCAUCUUCUUCGCCGUGGCUCUAUCGCCACUGCAGCCUUGCGAGGCCAUUCGAAUAACCGAGCGAGGUUUAGCAAGUGAGACGUCACCAAUAUGCCCUGCUUGUGUGUGCUGCGCACCUCCACCUCCGGGAUCAUGUUGUGCCUGCUGCGCUACUCCUGUUCCUACCGCCGGGUCUCCAUGAGAGAGAUCAACUGUUUACUUCAGACAGUUGCUAAUAAAUAGUAUGAAUAAAGAAGCUGCUCGGAAAUCGGAAUAAGGAUGUUACUAAUGUUGAUUCAACACGUUGUCUUGUGUUGCUUGGAAAUUGGAAUAAGUGUAAGCAUGAUCACUAAUCUCUUGUUGUUGAACCAGGGACAUGUCCUUAUAAAGUUGAAAAAAUUCAUGUUCCAUCAUCAA